rnacentral:lncRNA from 10 species
GUCACUCUGAGUCGCCGCAUGCCGGGCUCCUUCUCUCGCUGCUGGUUCGGGUGUUGGGGCCUGGUCCCGCUUGCAAAAGCUCCCACGGACCAGAGAAAAGAGGAGGAUGUCAGACGUAGAAACAAAUGGCGUGUCAAGUUUCGCAGGAAGAGAGGGAAGAGUGAAGCUCCGGGAGCCAGCCACGAUUAGUCGCGCCUUCUGUGACGUCCAAUGGCAGAGGUCAAAGGGAUUCCUGGGGCAACCUCGAGGGAAAGAAUUCUGGCUCCGAGGGCCGGUGUACAGUGCUUUAAAUAUGGCAGUGGUUAUGUGUGAAAUUAUCGUGUUUUUCUGUUUAACCUGUUUCUUGUCUCUUCAUCGCCUUUCUAUAUAAUGUAAGACCAGAGGCUUUAUGUAGUGAAUUCCCUGUAACCCCGGCUGCUUGGACAGAUAGGUAUUCAAGUAUUUGUUUCUUGAAGUAAUCCUCUGAAUUAACUUGCUCACAUGUAAAAAAUAAUAACGGGCUGGGAAACGCCAGUAAUAGCCGCCAAACGUUUGUUAGACAUUUACAGUGUGCCAGGGACUGCAUUUUACGUGUAUUAUCACAUUCCUCAGAACAGCCUAAUGAGGUAUAUAUUACUAGAAUGCCUAUUUUUCAGAUGAGGAAACUGAUGCAUAGAAAGGAUAAUUUACUCAAGAGCGAGGAAGUAGCAAGCAUAAAAUCCAAGUACAUUUUUUUCUGCAUGUAUUAAUAGGUACAAUGAAGUAACUUUUUAAAUUGCUGUAGGUAUCAAUCAUAGUCUUAAUUCCCAGUAAUUCACUUACUAAGAAAUAUUUUCUGCUUCUCUUUCAUCAUUCAUGGGAGAGAUACAUAUCCCUAAAUAUUUUGCACAUUUAAAACUUAAACUUGGGUAUGGUGGCUUAUGCCUGUAAUCACGGCGUUUUGGGAGGCUCAGGUGGGAGGAUUGCUUGAGUCCAGGAGUUCCAGGCCAGCCUGGGCCACAUAGUAAGACCCCGUAUCUACAAAAAAUAAAAAAAAAAUUAACCGGGCAUGGUAGUGUCUCUGUAGUACUAGCUACUCGGGAGGCUGAGGUGGUAGGAUCACUGGCGCCCAGCAAUUCCAGCCUGCAGUUAGGAUUACCACACUGCACUUCAGCCUGAGCGGCAGAAUGGGACCAUGUCUGAAAAAAUAAAUAAAAAAUAAAACUUGCAGGUAUGUUCUGAAUGUUUAUUGUAUGCAUCCUCUAUGAGGUAUCAUUUUAUUGGAAAUUAUUGCAUUGUCUACAAAAAUAUGAAGAACUCUGAAGAUGCCAAAAGAUAAACCGUGAAAGAGUACUAGAAGUGAGCUCCUCAAAAAGAUAAAGCUGAGAAGUGUUUCCCAAUUUUUCUUACUCAUUUAUGUAUGUAAUACUUUAUGUCUAGAAACUGAAUUUCAGAGCUGGGAGGGAACUUAAAAGUUAGUCCAGUUCUUUCAUGUUAGUGCCAAGAAAGCUGAUCAGAAAGAGAUUAAAUGACUUGCCCAAAAUUGAAUAGUCUUAAAUCUGAGCUGAGGCAGGCGUCUGAAUGUCUUAAAUUGGAGUUAAAUGUAUUAGCGUCAUAGUAUUAACAUCAUCAUAUUCCAUAUCUCUCAAAUCUGAUUUGAUUUUCAUUACAAUAGAGAAAUAAGUGUGAUUAGUAUUAUCCCCAUUUCCUUCACCGGGAGGCACAUUGUUUUAGUAUCAAAAGCAGCUACCUUGGGAGAAUCCGGGGCUAGAAACCUGACUUCAUUUCAAGUUUUACUCUUGUUGCACCAAAACCUUGGGUGAGUUAGUUUCUCAGCCUCAGUCCCCUCAUCAGGAAAAUGCUGUGUUAGCACUUUCUGUGAAGAAUGAUCAAAGGAGUGGAGAUUAUGGAGAUUAUAAACACACUUGACACAGUAAGUGUUUAAGAACUGGUAGCUGAUUUUUACAAAGUUAUGGGUCAUAGAAGGCAGUUUAGAGAAAAGGGCAGGCUUUGGAGUAGCUCAGUUGUAUUAUAACCUUGGCUUCUUUACUCACCUAGGACAUACAUUCUCUCUUUAGCUGUAGCUUCCUCCCUUCUGAGAUGGAAAUUAUAAGCCAUCUCACAGUGUUGUGAGGAUUGGAGCUCAAGUGUGUAAAAUGCCUCCUCUGUGGGCUCUCCUUGGAGAGUUCUUGUAUCCUAUUGAUUGUCAUCAAAGGAAAAAAGUGGCAGGAUGAUGGCAUAAGUGGGAAGAACCUUGAGUUUAAUAGUCUGAAAAAGUGGUUACAGGUUCUUGCUAUGCUUUUCCUCUCUGUGGUUUUCUGAACCCAUCGCCUAACCUGAAGCCUUAAACUUCAUCUGCAAAAAUGUUUUGUGGCAGGUGACUCUGAAGCAGAACUCUUGAGAUGGAAGGAUUGUCAUCUGAGGAAAAAAAAUCAAGAUUAAGAGAGGAGGAACUAGAAUGAGAUUCACAUACCGUCUCUCCUCCAAGGGAAGGAGAGAGUGGUGAUGCCUGCCCACUCCUUCCUGGGCAGAACAUUUGUAGCAUGGAACAUUGGAGAAUUUGCAGUCUGCUGACUUUCUGAUUUAGGAGGUUGAUGGGGAGGCCUUAUAAUUUGCAUUUCUAACAAGUUCUGAGGUGAUGCUUCAAGUAUGUCCAGGCAGAAGGGCUGCCUCACAGAGAAUUCUGCCAUACCACAUGGGAAUUGAAGUCACAGACAUCUCUAACCCUCAAGCCUGAAACCAAAAGACUGAAAACCAACACUACAGUGGACAAAGAACAUCUCUGAACUUGUGUGGGGACCAGUGACACAAGGACCUAAGGUCUCUCUCUUCUCAUCUUGGCACUUCAGAAGUCUCCCCAAUCUUGACAAAGCCCUGGAGAAAGGGCCGGGCCUCCCGUUGAUAAGAAUAUCACUGCAGAUAAAUGGAGGUUUCAAAUUGAAAGAAAGGAGGAGGGCCUCCUGUUGAUAAGAUUAUUGUCACUGCAGGUAAAUGGAGGCUUCAAAUAGAAAUACAUUUCAGUUACAGAAAAAAAAAUUAUCUUUGUUACACAUUUGAGUUUGCAGGCCUAAGGUUACUCCCGCUACACUAUCAUCUGUAACCAUAACGCACUCAACAUUUUAAGCUAACUAUAAGGAUUGUUGCUUCACUCAAAGAUCCUGAGGUUUUAUUCACUAACAUUUUUAUUUGGUGACUAUAGUUGACAAGAACAAAGCUGUGGGGAACCAACAAACACUGCAAUGCCUGGCAUUGUCACCUCACUAGAUUGUGAGUUCCUCUGGGACAGGGUCCGUACAUUUUCUUAGAAUCCCUCACUUAGCCAUUAGCCUGCACAGUGCUUGUACUUAGUAAGUGCUCAGUAAAUGUUUGUGGAAUGAAUGCAUGAUGAACAAAAUAUAUACUGAGGACUCUUGGUGUUGAUUCUUGUUGAUAAUGUAAUAGUUAAGAUAUGUUAUAAAUAUGUUAUAAAUAUUGUAUCAAAAUAUUGUAUCAAAAAUAUACUUGAACAGGCUGGGCGUGGUGGCUCACACUUGUAAUCCCAGCCCUUUAGGAGGCUGAGGUGGGUGGAUCACUUGAGGUCAGGAGUUCGAGACCAGACUGGCCAACAUGGUAAAACCCCAUCUCCACUAAAAAAAAACAAAAGUUAACUGGGCAUGGUUGUGGGUGACUGUAAUCCCAGCUACUCAGGAGGCUGAGGCAGGAGAAUCGCUUGAACCCGGGAGGUAGAGGUUGCAGUGAACCAAGAUCGCACCACUGCACUCUAGGGGACAGAGCAAGACGCCUCAAAAAAAAAAAUGUAUAUAUAUAGUAUAUACAUACACAUGAGCAUAAAGGAGCUUCAAUGUGAAGGUAAUAAUUUA